rnacentral:lncRNA from 1 species
UCUAGAAGCUAGAAAUGAGAAAUCAGAAUCCUGGCAAAAUAUGAAGAAGAAAUAGAUAUAGAUAUAGAUAAAUAUAAAAUUAAUUAAAAACAAUAAAUAUAUUGUAAAUUAGAAACAGGUAGGGAUUAUAAUCCAAAAUAUAAAAGACACCUAUGCAAUAAAAUGGCAAAUAUGCCAGGCUAAUAAAUUUGAAAUUGUUAACAAAAUAGAUUUUUUAAAAAUUGUAUUUAACAACAGAUGAAGUGUUUAAAGCAAAAAUCAUUACCAGAAAUUGAAUUGAUUACUUCAAAAAGAUCAAAAGGUAAAUUCACCAAGAAGACUGACAAUUCUUAACUUGUUUGCCCCAAUAACAUAGAUUCAUCACAAUAGCAACAAAAAGAAUAAAAUACUUAGAAAUAAACUUAACCAAGGAGGUGAAAAAGAAAAUUAUAAAGCACUGAUGAAGGAAAUUAAAGACACUGAAAAUUAUAAAGCAUCGAGGAAGAAAAUUAAAGACAUAUAUAAAUGGAAAGAUUUCCCAUGGCCAUAGAUUGGGAAAAAAUAAUAUUCUUAAAUGUCCAUACUGCCCUAAGUGAUUUACUGAUUCAAUGCCAUCCCUAUCAAAAUCCCAAUGUCAAUCUUCAUAGAAGAAAAAAUAACAUUUCCAAAAUGCAUAUGGAACCACAAAAUACCCCAAAUACCCAAAGCAAUCAUUAGAAAGAACAAAGUUGGAGACAUCACACUUCUUUAUUUUAAAGUAUAUUACAAACCUACGGUAAACAAAACAGCAUGGUACUGGCAUAGAAACAGACAUAUAGACCAAUGGAACAGAACAGAAAACCCAGAAAUAGAAUAGAGAACCCAAUGCAUGGGUUCCUCCCAAAAGAAAAUAUAAGAUGUUGAGUAAACAUGUAAAAAACUUAUCAUCAUUGAAGUUAAAUUAACUGACAUUAUCAAAUGUUGAUGCAGAUAUGGAGGGAAAGGAACCCUCACAUGCUGUCUGUAAGAAUGUAGAGUAGUAUAACCACUGUGGAU